UACGAAGGGUGCAAGCGUUACUCGGAAUCACUGGGCGUAAAGCGCACGUAGGCGGAUAUGUCAGUCAGGGGUGAAAUCCCGGGGCUCAACCUCGGAACUGCCUUUGAUACAGCAUAUCUUGAGUCCGAUAGAGGUGGGUGGAAUUCCUAGUGUAGAGGUGAAAUUCGUAGAUAUCAGGAAGAACACCGGUGGCGAAGGCGGCCCACUGGAUCGGUACUGACGCUGAGGUGCGAAAGCGUGGGGAGCAAACAGG
rnacentral:rRNA from 1 species